UCUGGUGUCCUAGGCGUAGAGGAACCACACCAAUCCAUCCCGAAUUUGGUGGUUAAACUCUACUGCGGUGACGAUAUUGUAGGGGAGGUCCUGCGGCAAAGUAGCUCGAUGCCAGAA
rnacentral:rRNA from 1 species